CCUUCCGUCUUUAUGAUCCAGAAUACCAACUGUUGGCUUAUGAUGGGGAGCGGAACUCAUCAGCCGUUAAUGCUUUAUAUGUCUUUUGGCAUGCUUCUUCAAAAUAGAGAGAGAUAGAGAGUGUUUACCGGAGAGAGAGCGUCGGAGAAAUGGCGGAGCUGGUCAAUUAAUAGUAGAAAAAGUGCAGCCAAAACCCUAAAUUUCUGUACUUGUCUCUUUAUGGAGGAAUAAUUGUAAUUGCACAUCCAUGGCUGACCGGGAACUAAUCUGCAGGCUCAUGGACUGCCUGAAACUGUCACUAGAAGCCAGCACCCACGCAGCCCAAAAUGAGAGAUUACCGCUUAUACGUUUCUGACAAUCACACCUCACAACCUCACAUGAGUAGCAGCAAGGUGCUACCGAAAAGUACACCGAACAGCCUCACCUGAAGCAGCAACAACUCACGGAAUUCAUUUUAAAUUAAGAAAAUGGUAAUAAUUCUGGUAUCGAAAGUCUUGGGAUUGAUGGAAGUUGAUGAACUACGAAUACAGGUUGAUAAAAAGUUUUUUAUAAUUUUCUGGAAGUUAUUAUGUAAUUUUCUGAGGGCUUCGGAUCUUGAUUCUUUGAAAACCGCAUACGUUAGAGCUUGAUGGUGCGAAAGAAUCGUUGCAGAAAAUGGUUGAUGAAGAAAACACGUAUUACAUUCAAAAUACGACUUUUUAUAAAAUUUCGAGUGUGUCGUUACGACGACGUGGUUAUUUUUUAUCUACAUGAUGUACAUUUGCGAAAUUUUCAGAGGCGUUGCUGGUGAUCUUACGGAGGAGGUACAAUUGAUUGACCACUUCACCAACAAGAAAGGAAUGACUAGCCAUUGUUACAGGAUCACAUAUCGCUCCAUGGAGCGUUCUCUUACAGAUAAGGAAAUAAAUGAGCUACAGAUUGUUUGGAACCAUUGUGAGAUGGAUGAUGGUGAAGAAUCGGCUAAUCGCCUAGGCUGCUCAGUUUGUCUUUUAUCCUUGCUGUGUCCUAACAUUAUUUCCUGUGUAGCUUAGCUGAUUUCAUAGCACAAGGCUUCACUUUAAGAAAAGGAAAACAUGUACUGGCCGUAAGAAUAUCUCAACACCAUACUUAA